rnacentral:misc_RNA from 1 species
UUUUAAAAAAAAAAAAAAAAAGAAUAUAUUAACUUAACAAACUACAUACAAGUUUUAUCAACCAGGAAAAAGAAGAUAGUACUAAGAUUUUUGGCACUUUGCAAACCCCACUUGAUGGGGUCUAUCAUAAACAGAAAGUGAAAAGGGCGGGACAUGGUAUUCAGUACCAUUUUGCGGUAUCAACUCUUUACUUUCACUGUUUACAAGUGAACCUGUUUCCAAGGAUUCACUCUCUUGUACUUCAGGGCUCACUUUUCCAAUUGCAUCUUCUUCAGCGACAAAAGAGGUGGUGACACUGACAAGUGGGAAUAUUGCAAU